rnacentral:ncRNA from 1 species
CCAGGCUACUCCAUUCCCAUAGCCGCGGCCAGCUAAAAAAGGAGGAAUCGAUGCCCCUGACCGGGGGUGCGGCAGUGUGGAGACCUGCCGUAAGGUCCGCCGGGUUCCGCUCCCGGCGGGCGAGGGCUCUCCCGCGGAGGCGGGGAGUCUGCGGUCUGCAUGUAUGGCA